GGACUACACGGGUUUCUAAUCCUGUUUGCUCCCCUAGCUUUCGUCAUUCAGCGUCAGUUGUGGUCCAGCGCGCCGCUUUCACCACGGGUGUUCCUGCAGAUAUCUACGCAUUUCACCGCUACACCUGCAAUUCCACGCGCCUCUCCCACACUCUAGCACAGCAGUUUCGGAAGCAGUCUCUGGGUUGAGCCCAGAGAUUUCACUCCCGACUUGCCACACCGCCUACUGACCCUUUACACCCAGUAAUUCCGAACAACGCUGGCCCCCCACGUCUUACCGCGGCUGCUGGCAC
rnacentral:rRNA from 1 species